rnacentral:rRNA from 1 species
AAUUUUGGUAUUUUAGUAUAUUCUUUAUAAAAGAAACAUCAUUUAUAUUUAGUAGUGGUGAAAGAAAUAAUUAUAUAUUAAUGCAGUUGUACCGUAUGGGAAAUAUAUUAAUUUUUUUUAAGUAGUCGUAUAUUCGUACCUUUUGCAUCAUGGUUUAGUAAGAAGAUUUUUUGAAUUAAAUUUCUCGAAACCUAAGGAGCUACCUUAAUUUUUGGUUUAGCCUUACAUAAAGCUAAGUGUAGCAUAACUUUAUUUAAAAUUUAAGGUAGAAAUUAAAUGUUAUUCGUCUUAGGUGAUAGCUAGUUAUAAUAUAAAGAUAUAUAAGUAUCGGAUAUAAUUUUAUUAUACGUUUAUGUUUAACAUAUAAUAAUUUAUUUUCUUAGUUAUGUGAGGGUAAGCUCACAUAAAUUUAAUUUAACUAAAACUGUAUAUAAAUCUAAGCUUAGAAUUAGCUAUGAUAUAUAAAUUUGUUAAAAAUGUAUACAUAAAAACUUUUUAAUAUAUUAAAUUUAUAUUAUUUAGUUAUAUAGCUAAAAUAUAACUAAUUUAUGCUAGAAUGAGUAUUGCUAUAAAUUAAAACAAAAAUAAAUUAAAUUUUUUUUAAAAAAUCUUUAUAGAUAUUAUAAAAUAUAUUAUAGGAACUCGGCAAAAUCUAGCUCCGCCUGUUUAGCAAAAACAUGUCUCUUUGAAAAUAGAAUAUAAAGAGUCUGGCCUGCCCGGUGACAUAGUUUAACGGCUGCAGUAUCCUGACUGUGCAAAGGUAGCAUAAUAACUUGUUUUUUAAUUGGAGGAUAGAAUCAACGGCUUGACGAGAGCAAGACUGUCUUUUUUAUUUUUACUAGAAAUUAUCUUUUAAGUUAAAAGACUUAAAUAUAACUAAGGGACGAUAAGACCCUAUUGAGCUUAAAAAAAAUAAAAUAAUUAUUUAUUUAUUAACAAGAUUAAUAAUGAUUUUAAUUAAUUUUAGUUGGGGCGACUGCGGAGUAUACAAAACCUCCGUUCUAAGAAAAUAACUUGUAUUUAUUGAUCCUUAAGUCAAGAUAAGACGAAUUAGUUACCAUAGGGAUAACAGCGCAUCGCCCCUGGAGAGAUCAUAUUUCCAGGGGAGAUUGCGACCUCGAUGUUGGAUUAAGGUAUACUAAAAGGUGCAGGAGCUUUUUAAGUUAGUCUGUUCGACUAUUAAAUCCUUACAUGAUCUGAGUUCAGACCGGCGUAAGCUAGGUCAGUUUCUAUCUUUAGUUUUUACUUUGUAUUAUGUACGAAAGGACCAAUACAAAAAAAAUAUUUUGAUAUAAAGAUGGCAGAAUAGUGCAUUAGGUUUAAGCUCUAAAUAUAAAGAUUU